AUGUUCAGUCAGAAAUCCUCGCAAGAGCAUCUAAAUCAACAAGAUGGCUAUAUACAUAACAAAUGCAGAAACGCUGUACACAGUACAGAAGAGAACCUACCAAACACCUGCAAACACUGCAUCCAACUACCCAACGACGGGCAUCAGGCAGCAGCGACCUCCACGACGACCUCGGCGGCCACCGCGCCGGCCACCUCGGCCCGGCAGAUGGGGCACAGGCGGCUCUUGCGCAGCCACGAGCCGACGCACUCGGCGUGGAACCCGUGCUCGCACCGGGGCAGCACCAUGCAACGGUCGCCGGCCAUGAACGCCUCCAGGCACACCGCGCACUCGCCGGCGCCGCCUUCUUUGAAGUCGUGGCAUGGCAGCACGCCGAGCUCUUCGGCGGUAAGGCCCGCGUCUUCCUCCGCGUGCUCGGCGACGCGGGCCGUCAUGCCCCGCCUCAGCACCCAGAGGACCACGAGGAUGUGCACGACGAGCAUCAGCGUGAUGCCUGCCGCGAGCAGGACGGCCGAGAGGACCAUGCGGGCGGAGAAUUCCUUGGCUAUGGAGGUGCCGUGCGCUUGUGAGGUACAAAAACUAGCACUGCAAAGCCGCUGA
rnacentral:rRNA from 1 species